rnacentral:rRNA from 1 species
AUGGCUCCUCUCCUGUCGCCGCCGCUGCUCGCAGAAUUGGUGGCCAGGUCCCAUUCCUCCUCCACGGCCGUGCGCUGUUCCGGCAGUGUCCGGCGAUGCGCAGUGGCGGGGCUGGCCGGCGCCGGAAGGAAAGACCGCCACCGGAGACGGAGGACGUGGGGGAGGAGGGGCUUCAGGGUGUCCGCGGUGGCGACGGAGCCCCGCAGCCCGGAGGGGAGCGCCGCCGAAGAUUACUACGCCGUUCUUGGCGUCAUGCCGGACGCAACACCGCAGCAGAUCAAGAAAGCGUACUACAAUUGCAUGAAGGCUUGCCAUCCAGAUCUUAGCGGGAACGACCCCGAUGUGACCAACUUCUGCAUGUUCAUCAACGAGGUUUACACGGUACUAACCGACCCCAUCCAGCGAGCCGUGUAUGACGAGAUCAAUGGCUUUACUGCAACAGCAACCAACCCCUUCUUGGAUGAUGCACCCAGGGAUCAUGUGUUUGUCGAUGAGUUUAGCUGCAUAGGAUGUAAAAACUGUGCUAAUGUGUGUUCCAAGGUUUUCGAGAUUGAGGAGGAUUAUGGGCGUGCAAGAGUUUACAAUCAAUCAGGCAAUGAAGAGCUAAUUCAAGAAGCCAUUGACAGUUGUCCGGUUGACUGCAUCCACUGGACUUCAGCAGCACAAGUUACACUCCUCGAGGAUGAAAUGCGCAGAGUCGAGAGAGUGAAUGUUGCAUUGAUGCUUUCUGGGAUGGGGAGUUCAUUUGAUGUGUUCCGGAUGGCAAGUACGCGCUGGGAGAAAAGACAAGCAAAAGUCUUGAAUAAGGUCAGGAUGCGGAUGAGCCAAGAUGAUUCUAACAAGGGCAGUUCAUGGAGUGAUAUAUGGGGGUCACCAACAAGAUACCAAAAGAACGAAGAGGACACAAAGGAGAGAAUGAAGCGAGCGGCCGCGGCCGCACGGAGAUGGCGAGAAUACUCGAGGAAAGGUGCAGACAAGCCUCCUACAUUCAAACUUCCAGAGGUAGCGUCCAACCAGGAGUGA